CAGUAGCCGCGGGAAAACGGAGGGAGCUAGCGUUGUUCGGAAUCACUGGGCGUAAAGCGCACGUAGGCGGCUAUUCAAGUCAGGGGUGAAAGCCCGGGGCUCAACCCCGGAACUGCCUUUGAAACUAGGUAGCUUGAAUCUUGGAGAGGCGAGUGGAAUUCCGAGUGUAAAGGUGAAAUUCGUAGAUAUUCGGAAGAACACCAGUGGCGAAGGCGACUCGCUGGACAAGUAUUGACGCUGAGGUGCGAAAGCGUGGGGAGCAAACAGGAUUAGAUACCCGUGUAGUCCCUGUCUCUUAUAC
rnacentral:rRNA from 1 species